CACCGUUUCGUUCUGUAUUUCUCUAGAUCGCCGCUGUUAUGCCCAGAAUUCGUGAUCCCCAAAGACCACCAGGGAGCCGAGUCCGAUGCAAAAGCAAAAGAGCCUUUAUUCGAGCUAGCUCGAGCUCAAUCCCCUACCUGCACCGACACAGCGGUGAGAUACCAGGGAGAGAGAGCGAGUUUCAAAAGCACAAAGGUUUUAUAGGGGUCUAGGGGCAGUUGGUGAGGUAACGGCUGUGGGCUCAGCCGAUUGGCUGGGGAAGGGUUGUGGCCUCGGCUGAUUGGCUGGGGAAGGGUCGGCGUCCUGUUACGCAGGUCGCUGGGUGUGUUUUGAUCAGGAAGUUUGAACGGGUGAGCGGGAGGUUACUCAAGGGGAGGAGGCGCGGUCUGAGGUUUCUUCGUUUUCCCGGAAAAGGGGUCAUGUCUGGGACAUAGUCACUCAAGGUGGAGGACACAGAGCAAGAUGGAGUCGGCCGGCGUAGGCCCACCCUUUCAGCCGCUCUUGUCCAAAGUCCUGGAGCGCUGAGGAAGAGAACAGAAGCCUGAGAGGGGAAGUUACUUUUGUUCUUCCAGUAUCAAUAGAUCAACUAGAUGGCCCCCAAGAGGAACCACUGGCACCACGUCUGAGGGGGAGCUGGAACGCAGGUGUUCAUGCCGAGUCCAGGAAUGCCGGUUGGAAGGGAGAGAUGGUUGUGUGCACAGAUGAUUUAUCCUGGAGUGGAGGUCACUUGAGGUGUGCCUGGUACCGGCCACAAUGUGAAAAUAACACAGCACAAGCUCCGUUGAGCUCCUGGCACAGACCAGCCACUAUUCUAGGAACUCUGGAGGCAAACAUAAGACAGAUAUUCUCCACGUUUAGAAGACAGUCAGUUGGUGAUGGGAAGAUAUUGACUCUCCUGCUGCAUACAAUGCCCGACUUCAGAGAGUGCCAUUUGCAUAGCUUGGAGCAGGUUUGGAGGCUGAGGAAGAGCUGGAGAUACAGAAGAGAGACGAGGCCACAGAAAGAAAGGGUUGGAGAGGAGGGGCACUUUGAGGGACCCUUUGGGGUGUUAAUGGAGACAGUCAUGCAGAUUCGAAGAUGGGAAGAUGAGUGA
rnacentral:lncRNA from 1 species